rnacentral:tRNA from 1 species
ACAUGAGUGCCAGAAGUUUGAUGGGUUGGUUUUAAGCACCAAAUAUGGAUUUGAUUCCCUUGUGUA